AUACGGAGGAUGCAAGCGUUAUCCGGAUUUAUUGGGUUUAAAGGGUGCGUAGGCGGGGGAUUAAGCGGGAGGUGAAAUGCAACUGCUCAACAGGGGAACUGCCUCGCGAACUGGUUGUCUUGAAUGCUCCUGCCGGGGGAGGAAUGUGGGGUGUAGCGGGGAAAUGCAUGGAUAUCACGAGGAACUCCGAUUGCGCAGGCAGCUUACUAAACUACUACUGACGCUCAGGCACGAAGGCGUGGGGAUCAAACAGGAUUAGAUACCCUGGUAGUCCACGCAGUAAACGAUGAUUACUAGCUGUUUGCGAUACAAUGUAAGCGGCUGAGCGAAAGCGUUAAGUAAUCCACCUGGGGAGUACGUUCGCAAGAAUGAAACUCAAAGGAAUUGACGGGG
rnacentral:rRNA from 1 species